rnacentral:rRNA from 1 species
GAUUAGUGGCGACGGGUGAGUAACACGUGGGCAAUCUGCCCUUCACUCUGGGACAAGCCCUGGAAACGGGGUCUAAUACCGGAUAACACUCUGUCCCGCAUGGGACGGGGUUAAAAGCUCCGGCGGUGAAGGAUGAGCCCGCGGCCUAUCAGCUUGUUGGUGGGGUAAUGGCCUACCAAGGCGACGACGGGUAGCCGGCCUGAGAGGGCGACCGGCCACACUGGGACUGAGACACGGCCCAGACUCCUACGGGAGGCAGCAGUGGGGAAUAUUGCACAAUGGGCGAAAGCCUGAUGCAGCGACGCCGCGUGAGGGAUGACGGCCUUCGGGUUGUAAACCUCUUUCAGCAGGGAAGAAGCGAAAGUGACGGUACCUGCAGAAGAAGCGCCGGCUAACUACGUGCCAGCAGCCGCGGUAAUACGUAGGGCGCAAGCGUUGUCCGGAAUUAUUGGGCGUAAAGAGCUCGUAGGCGGCUUGUCACGUCGGAUGUGAAAGCCCGGGGCUUAACCCCGGGUCUGCAUUCGAUACGGGCUAGCUAGAGUGUGGUAGGGGAGAUCGGAAUUCCUGGUGUAGCGGUGAAAUGCGCAGAUAUCAGGAGGAACACCGGUGGCGAAGGCGGAUCUCUGGGCCAUUACUGACGCUGAGGAGCGAAAGCGUGGGGAGCGAACAGGAUUAGAUACCCUGGUAGUCCACGCCGUAAACGUUGGGAACUAGGUGUUGGCGACAUUCCACGUCGUCAGUGCCGCAGCUAACGCAUUAAGUUCCCCGCCUGGGGGAGUACGGCCGCAAGCUAAACUCAAAGGAAUUGACGGGGCCCGCACAGCAGCGAGCAUGUGC